UACGUAGGGGGCAAGCGUUGUCCGGAAUUAUUGGGCGUAAAGAGCGCGUAGGCGGUCCGAUAAGUCGGCUGUGAAAGUCAGGGGCUCAACCCUUGGAAGCCGGCCGAUACUGUCGGACUAGAGUCCGGAAGAGGCGAGUGGAAUUCCCGGUGUAGCGGUGAAAUGCGCAGAUAUCGGGAGGAACACCAAUGGCGAAGGCAGCUCGCUGGGACGGUACUGACGCUGAGACGCGAAAGCGUGGGUAGCAAACAGG
rnacentral:rRNA from 1 species